GUAUUAAAUUUUAUUUAAAAAAAGUUCAGUCAAAAAAAAAGGCUGAUUUUUGAAAAAUACUCUUGGCAGGCGCUCCUCCCAAAAAAAAUUAAUUUUUUUCGAAGGGAACCUACCAAAAGCAAUAAUGAUUUCAAUAUUAUGCGCACAGUGGUUGAUCUUGGCCGUCGAACUCCUCUUUGCAAGAGGGCCGACGAAAACCUUUAAUGAUCCUUCCGCAGGUUCACCUACGGAAA
rnacentral:misc_RNA from 1 species